rnacentral:rRNA from 1 species
UACGUAGGGUGCAAGCGUUAAUCGGAAUUACUGGGCGUAAAGCGUGCGCAGGCGGUUAUGUAAGACAGGUGUGAAAUCCCAGGGCUUAACCUUGGAACUGCAUUUGUGACUGCAUAGCUAGAGUACGGUAGAGGGGGAUGGAAUUCCGCGUGUAGCAGUGAAAUGCGUAGAUAUGCGGAGGAACACCGAUGGCGAAGGCAAUCCCCUGGACCUGUACUGACGCUCAUGCGACGAAAGGCGUGGGGAGCAAACAGG